rnacentral:misc_RNA from 1 species
GUGCGGUUGUGCGCGUCGGGUAAAAAUACGAAAUGAGCGUUUUACCAACUGCUUAAAACACCAAACACGCGCAGCGCUACAGACGAUGCGAAAGGCGUUAAAAACAAAAGUGAACAGCAAAAAACACGGUCAACGAAAUUUCAACAAUACUCGCAAACCUAUUUAUCAGUGUUUUUUUGUUAAACAGCUGCAAAAUAAAGUUCAACUGAGUAAAAAAAUUCGUUUCGCUAAAAGCUAAAAAGGAAGAGAAAAAGAAAAAACAGUUGGAUGCUGUGCUAAAAGCAACAAAUACGUCAAAAAUUUCGUGUGUGCUGCGCCCUAAAAUUGUACAAGUGUGCGUGUGUGUGUAUUUACGUGUGUGUGCGCGGUCCAGUUUUGUGUAUAACAACAAAAUCUAAGCUGUGUGUCCUUUAAAGGUGCCGCAAAGGUUGUGUAUGUAUUGUGUCGAAAAGCUUAGCUGCACAACGCAGGAUAACGCAUUAGUCAUCAGCAGAGCCGCUGGCAGCGCAUCCUGUGUCUGUCGACGCCGGCUCGCACAGAAACAAACCACGACCAAUAAGUAACAACAAAAAAGCUUCAACACUAACAACAACAAAAACAACUUGUUCUCCAUGCAUCGUUUAACCCCUGCAUGCGUCUAACAACAACAACAACACGAACAACAGUGACAAUAAGAAGAACGCAGGCAAAAGGAAAUCGAGAAUGGAGCGUAAAUUCACGCGCGGCUUGAAUAAGCCGGGCAUGGCGGCACAGCUGAGAGAGAGCGUCUCUCAGGUGGUGCGUGAGAGCGCCGUUUUGAUACACUGCCCUGGAAGCUAUCAGCGCAGUCUCUCCAUUUUGAACAAACCGCUCGUCGUGGAGCCAAUCGACUUUGAAGCCUUUAUAGCCAAAAAUAAAACACUCAUACAAAACGAUCCGCAGCGCGAGCUGCUUAUCUAUCCAGCGGACGAUGUCUCGGAAAUUGUCAUGCCGCGCAAGCAGCGCACCACUGCCAAAUCUGUCGCAGAUCGAUUUGUGCCAGCCAAUGAGGCUAUUGUUACGCCACUGCAUGGGCCAAUUGUGCUGGGCAGCAACGGGCACGGCCAGGUGAGCCGGCAGGGCAGCCUGCAGUCAAAUGGCAGCCUUCACAAUGGCCACAGCAGCACAGGCAGCCUUUCGAAUGGCAAUGGGCAAUUGUCGCGCAAGAGUUCGCAGUGCUCGAAUGGGUCGGUGGUCAGUCGAAAGACCUCGCAGGAGUCAUCCUAUGACUCGGCCUUGUCCUCCAACACAUUGCGCUCGAAUUUGGCACAGCCCGAGGAGGUGGAUGAGUAUGCGGACGAGGAGCCAGCGGCCAGCGAGGAUAUGACAGAUUCAACUGCUCUGGGCACGCGUGCCGAGUGCACGCGCUUCACUCGCCAGGCGCUCUACACGUACCGUGCCAAGAAUCAUCUCAUCCACUACAAGUACAGUGCAUAUGGCGGUAACUGUAACGAUCUGCCCAGCACCUCACCUGCCGAGGAGCUGCUGGAGGAGGUAUACGAAAUCGAUGCUGACCAGGACCGCAUCGAUGAGCAGAUGACUCGCUCCCAGGCAGACAGCAUUACCAAACAAGGUUUCCUAUUGAAGGGGCCCGACUCGGCCGCGGAUCGCAUGUUUGCCAACAUCGGCAAUAAGUCGUUCAAACGCCGCUAUUGUUAUCUGCGCCAGGAGAUCGAUGGCACCUACAUACUCGAGCUGCACAAAGAUGAGAAGCAGUGCGAGGCCAAGGCCACCAUUGUCAUGGACUUUUGCACGGAAGUGGUGCAGAAUCCUAAACGUGGUCGCUUUUGCUUUGAGCUGCGCAUGACAACUGGUCACAAAUCGUUCACCUUGGCCGCCGAGAACGAGCAGGACUUUAAGGAUUGGCUGUCCAAGCUGUCCUCAGUGCUGGCACAGAACAAGGCGCAGGAGGAGAAGCGCAACGCCUCGCUAGAACGCCAGCCUGCCAAUGGCAAUGCCAAUGCCACGCCCACGCCACAACUGCAACCGCCGGCCACGGAACCAGCCACUUUUGGCACACUCAAGGGCCUGGAUCAGUCGCUGCAUCCGCAGCUGAUGAAGUAUGGACGCGAGACGGAUCACUCCAUAGCGCAGGCGCGUCGGGAGCAACGUCGCCGUCUCUUCGCCUGCUACCAGAGCACCGCCAAGGCCGUGGGCAACGAUAAUGUGGAGCAGUAUCGCGAUCACUUUGGCACACGCGUCCUACUCAGCUGUCAAUGCCUGCGCUUUCGCCUGCAAUGUCAGUCGGUGGAUAUGGCGGAUGGUGCUGCGGGCGAACAGCUGUGCCAGGUGGAGCCGUACAUAACCAGCUUGGCGCUAUAUGACGCCAAGGCCGGACGUAAGCUCAGUGAGAACUUCUACUUCAACAUAAAUGAGCCCAGUGCGGCCCAGAUGCUGCCCAACACCCCAGUGCCAGCCUCCGUGGCGGACUGUGGCAUCCCCAGGCGUGUGGAGAACGAUGAGCGCAAUGCUUCCCAGGCUCCACAUUCGCUGUUUGACAGCGUUUCAUCCGAGCUGCUGCGCUGUCCUCGCCAGCAAUUCCAUCAGCUGCGCCAGUGCAUGCUGUCGGUCAGCGCGCCGCAUGCGGAUAUCUAUCUAGUGCUUCGCAUUGAGAAGGUGCUGCAGUGCAGCAUUGCCCAGGCGGCCGAGCCAUAUAUGAAGGCCGCACGUGAUCCAAAGCUUGGCCAAAAGGUGCACAAGACGGCCAAGAGCUGUGCCCAGCACAUCGGACACUACCGCCAGCCUUUUGCCUGGGCCGCCCGGCCGCUCUUUAAGGCCUACAGCCAUGAGCUGGACGUGGACUCCAAUUGCAUAUGCGAGUUCAGCACCAUCUAUCGCCAGGAGCUGCCCAAGCUGCGCGAUGAGGAGCUGCUAAAGCUGCUGGCCGACUACCGCAAGCCGGAGAAAUUCAGCAAGCUGAACGUCAUACCGGGCUAUAUGCGCCUGCAGGUGCAGUUGCUGGAUCAAACGACGCCCUGCGGCUUGACCAAGUCCCUGGCGCCCUUGUCCACCUUCAGUGCCUCCGCCAAGCAGCCGCUCACUCUGGAACUCGCCGAGUUUCAGGGCCAAAACGAACGUGAUGCGCAUCCCUAUACCAGUUUCUGUAACCAUCUCUAUGUGUAUCCCCUGAGCCUUCAAUUCGAUAGUCAAAAACUCUUUUCACGCGCUCGCAACAUCACAGUCGUCGUCGAGCUGAGAGAUGGCGAUGGCGAGUACAGUAAACCUCUAACGUGCAUCUAUGGCCGACCUGGCCAGGAAUUGUUGGUCUCGCAGAUCGCCUGCCCGGUGCUGCAUCACAAUGUGACGCCCACGUGGUAUGAGGAGAUCAAACUGCGUCUGCCGCUUGGCCUCUUUCCGGAGCAUCAUUUGCUCUUCUCGUUCUAUCACGUCUCCUGUAAUCUGAGUAAGAAACGCGAUGCGCACGCAGCAUUUGAGACGCCCAUUGGCUAUGCCUGGUUGCCGCUGCUGCAGAAGAAUCGCAUCUGUCUGGAGGAGCAGCUGCUGCCCGUGGCAGCCACGUUGCCCGUUGGCUAUCUAUCCAUACAGCCGCUGGGCUGGGGUAAAGGGCAGAACUGCGGUCCGGACAUUCAGUGGAUCGACAAUCAGCGAGCGCUAUUCAGCGUUGGCCUGCGUCUGGACUCCACGGUGCUGACAUCCGAUCAGCAUUUGCACAACUUUUUUGCCCACUGCGAACGCCUGCUGGAGGGCGGCAAGACAGGAGCCCUGCCCGCCGAGACGGAGACCUGCAAGAUCCUCAAAGCGGCGCACGCCAUCGACAUGCGCUCCCUGAUCAACUUUCUGCCCACGCUCCUCAACGAGUUGUUCACGCUGCUGGUGCACACACAGUCCGAGGAGAUCGGGCUUAAUGUGAUACGUCUACUAACGAACGUCAUACACCAGAUCAGCGAUGAGGCCAAGCGCACGGAGCUGCUCGCUUCGUACGUGAAGUAUGUGUUCCAUGCGCCCUACUACAGUCAGCAAACAGCACGAUCGCGCACCGUGCACGGCGAGCUGUGCCGCCAUCUGCCCUACCUGCUCAAUCCCAACAACACGGACUUUCUGAUCGUGAACAAGUUUAUGCGCUACUCGUCGAUCUUCUUCGAUCUGAUUGUGAAGAGCAUGGCGCAGCAUCUGCUGGCCACGGGUCGCAUUCGCAUGCUUCGCAACGAACGCUUUCCCAAGGAGUAUGCGGAUCGGGUGGAGCAGCUGGUCAAGGCGCUAAUACCAUAUAUAACAACCCGCUACGACGAUCUCGGCGAGGAGACCCAGCUGCUGAAUCGUUCGCUGGCGCGCUUUGUCCGCCAGUGCCUCAGUUACAUGGAUCGCGGCUUUGUGUUCAAGCUGAUUCGCUUCUACAUGGAACAGUUCGCGCCUGGCAAUCCACGCGUGCUGCACGAGUACAAGUUCAACUUCCUGCAGGAGAUCUGCCAGCACGAGCACUACGUGCCGCUCAAUCUGCCGUUCGUGCUGAAUCCGAAGAAUCGACCACCCGAACUGCUGCAGCAUUACACGCUCUCGGAACAAUUCUGCCGCCAGCAUUUUCUAUCCGGCCUGCUGCUGCAGGAGCUGAAGAGCAGCCUCAACGAGGUGGGCCACGUGCGACGCCAUGCGCUGUCCGUGUUCAGGGAUCUGCUGGCCAAGCACGAGUUGGACGCGCGCUACCAGCAACGCGGCCAGCUGAGCCGCAUUGCUCUGCUGUAUGUGCCCUGGCUGGGAAUUGUCAUGGACAAUCUGCAGCGCAUCGAUGAUUUGUCCGAGUCGGGAGCCAGCACGCCCAACGGCCAUGUCUAUGCAGACUCGGCGUCGUAUACGAAACGGCUCAGUUGCUCCAGCAGCUAUGUAUUCAGCAAAGACUCCUCGACCUUCGGCUCGCUAACUUCCACGCCACGUUCCAAGAAUCGCCUCACGCCCCACGCUGACCUUGCCAGUCCCUGUCGCACCUCGAUGCACAUCAAGGACCACAACUAUCUGGCCGCCAUUGCGGGCUCGGCGAUUGGCAACGGCAUCUCGAAUUUGUCGCUCAACUCGAACUCCGAUUCAGGCCACUCACAGGACACCACAACGAUCGGCGCUUACACCAAUGGCGAAAUGGACGUGGCCAUGCGUAACGGUCACAAUCGAUCCGUGAGCGUAACCCAUGCCCAGAUUCUCGCACGCUGCGACAAGUUCAGUGCAGCGGAGAGCAAAGAUUUGCUGCUCGGUUUUCUGUUUAUUGUGAAGCAUUUGUCACAGGAUCAAAUGGUCGCCUGGUGGCAGAGCUGCAACGAGACGGAGACAUUGCAGUUCCUGUCCAUUUUGGACUUGUGCCUGCUGCAAUUCCGCUACGUGGGCAAGAAGAACAUUGUGAUGGCCAGCGAGGCUCGAGUACAGAGGCCGGCUAAAGCAAAUACUCUACCCGCUCGCAGCACGCCGCCUGUGGUGGAGAACGGCAGCGCAGAGCCCAGCACUGGCACCCUCACCCAGACGCGUGAGCAUCUGCUCGAGGACAUGGACUUGUGUGCUAGAUCGCAGCAAGCGCUGUACGAAUCAAACCUGGCCACGGAGGUGGGCAUGAUCAUACUGGACUGCCUCGGUCUCUACGUGCUGCAAUUCCGCCAGCUACUGGCGGACAGUCUGGUGCUGCCCAAGCUGGCACGCGUCUAUCUGCGCUUCCUGCAGCUGGGCCAGUCGGAGCGCCUGUCCAAGCAUCUGUUUGCCGCGCUGCGCGCCUUCAUCAACAACUAUUCGAUGGCCCUAUUCAAGGGCAAUGCAAUGCUCUGUGGCCAGAUGGUCUAUGAGCUGCUGAAAGCCUGCGACAGCCGGCUGGUGCACAUACGCCAGGAGUCCUGCGCCGUUCUCUAUCUGCUGAUGCGCAGCAACUUUGAGUUCAGCGGCCGCAAGGCGCUCACCCGCGUCCAUCUGCAGGUCAUCAUCUCGGUGUCGCAAAUGAUUGGCAAUGUGAUUGGGCUGAACAAUGCGCGCUUCCAGGAGAGCCUUUCCAUCAUCAACAGCUAUGCCAACAGUGACAAGGCCAUGAAGGGCACCGGCUUUCCCCUGGAGGUCAAGGAUCUGACGCGACGCGUGCGCACAGUGCUGAUGGCCACGGCACAGAUGCAGGCGCAUCACAUGGACCCGGAACGCCUGCUCGAGCUGCAGUACUCGCUGGCCAACUCGUAUGCCUCGACGCCAGAGCUGCGGCACACCUGGCUGGUAACCAUGGCCCGUAAUCACGAGCAGAACGGCAAUCUCUCGGAGGCCGCCUGCUGUCAUCUGCAUAUUGCGGCGCUAAUGUGCGAAUAUCUGCGACUACGCGGCGGCUGCACCCUCAGCUGGUCCUCGACGGCCUUUGGUAAGAUAUCACGCAACAUUCCGUUGGAUGAGCAGGGCCUCAAGCUGGAUGCCGGCGCCCAGGACUCGCAGUACACUGAACAAAUGCUGCUGGAACAACUAAAGCAAUGCGCCGACUUCCUAGAUCGUGCCGAGCGCUUCGAGUGCCUCGGCGAACUUUACAAACUCAUCCUGCCCAUCUACGAGCGCGCACGCAACUUUAUUGAGCUGGCCCAGAGCUAUGAGCAUCUCACCCAGGCCUACAAUAAAAUAGUCGAGGUGAAUCGGUCCGGCAAACGCAUGCUCGGCCGCUUUUAUCGAGUGGUCUUCUAUGGCAUGAUGUACUUCGAGGAGGAUCAUGCCAUCGAGUUCGUCUACAAGGAACCAAAGCUAACAUCGCUUAGCGAAAUUUCUGAACGCUUAGCCAAGCAGUAUAAGGAAAAGUUCGGCGCCGAUGUAGUCAAGCUCAUAAUGGAUUCCUCGCCGGUAAAAGUUGACGAAUUGGAUCCCAAACUAGCCUACAUACAGGUCACCCAUGUCAUACCGUUCUUCACCAAAGACGAGCUCGAUCAGCGCCUGAACGAGUUCGAGCAGAAUCACGAUGUGGACACAUUCAUGUAUGAAACGCCCUUCACCAAAUCUGGCGCAGCACGCGGCAGCGUGGAGGAGCAAUGGAAGCGCAAGACGGUCAUUAAGACCCGAUAUUCGUUUCCGUAUGUGCUCAAGCGCAUACCCGUCAAAUCACGUGAGAUCAUCGAGCUGAGCCCCAUUGAGGUGGCCAUAGAUGAGAUGCAAUCAAAGGUUUCAGAGCUGGAGGAGAUCAUUCUGCCGCCGGCCGAUGUUAAGAAGCUGCAGCUGCGCCUGCAGGGCAGCGUGGCAGUUACUGUGAAUGCGGGUCCCCUGGCCUAUGCACACGCCUUUCUGGACGCCAAGGUGAUCAACAACUUUUCGCUGGAUCGUGUUGAGGAUCUGAAGGACGUAUUCCGGGACUUUAUUGGCGUCUGCCACAAGGCGCUCUGCGUGAACGAGCGGAUGAUCAGUGCCGAUCAGAAGGAAUACCACCAUGUACUGAAGGAGAACUAUGAGAAGCUGUGUCAAGCGCUCAGUGAGUUACUCCAAGACGAGUCAUUCCAGCCGCUUAGCGACGAUGCCGACGCAGCCGCCCAGCGCAAUAGCAUGGCUUUAUUCAAUGCGAUCAGUGGGGCCUCACAUAACUCAAGUACAGCUUAAGUUCAAAAACAAAAAACAAAAUACCAACAAAAAACCAAACAAUACAAAUACCAAUACACACUUAUACGCACAGCUACUAAAAACGGUUUUAACAAAGCAACGUAGAAGCGUAAUUUGUAGCAUUAAACUCUGUUGGGUGUUCCUUUUGUAAUGAUGUUUGAUCUUUCACCUUUGACCUUUGAUGUUUGAUGUUGUCGUUAUCGUUGUUGUUGUGGCAGGUUUUGGUUUUGCCGUUUAUUAAAGCCCAUGCAAACCAGCAAAUACCAUAUAUAUAUCCCACACAAACAUCUAUAUAGAAUAUUGAUCUACA